rnacentral:lncRNA from 1 species
UUGACUAGUUUUUGCUCCGGUUUUGAUGAUAUUUCAUGGUUAUAAGUGUCGGUUUGUACAUUAGUGCAUUUCGUGCUCGUUUCCUCUCGAACGGACCAUUUCGGUUCGUUUCACUUGUUUCUUGGAGUCUUUUCCUUGAUUUCAGGUAUCCGUUGAAUAGAGGGUUCGAAUACGAAGCCGAUGGUACCUUCCGGAGCAAAAUCAGAGUCCGAAUGAAGAAAUUAUGGCCGAAGGAAGUCGAUCAAGGUUGUUGUUGACCAGUCAAUGACGUGUCACGGCCGUGAUGGGUAACCUGUCACGGCCGUGAUGCCUAGUCUGGGCAG